GGUUACAAAUCUGGCUGUCGAGAUGCCUAAAAAGCAUUUCAUAGCAAGGGCCGGGCAAGACCGGUGCCAGCCGCCGCGGUAACACCGGCGGCUCGAGUGGUAACCGUUAUUAUUGGGUCUAAAGGGUCUGUAGCCGGCCGGAUAAGUCUCUUGAGAAAUCUGGCAGCUUAACUGUCAGGCUUUCAGGAGAUACUGUCUGGCUCGAGGCCGGGAGAGGUGAGAGGUACUUCAGGGGUAGGGGUGAAAUCUUGUAAUCCA
rnacentral:rRNA from 1 species